UCACAAUGUGCGAGAGCACGAUGAGGGGAUCCCAAGUGCUGGCACGUAAGUGUCAGCUGUUUCUUAGUCUAAAAAACUGAGAGAGUAAGAGCUGGGUAAGACGGGUGCCAGCCGCCGCGGUAAUACCUGCAGCUCAAGUGGUGGCCGCUAUUAUUGGGCCUAAAACGUCCGUAGCCGGUUUAGUAAAUGCCUGGGUAAAUUGUGUAGCUUAACUAUACGAAUUCCGGGUAGACUGCUAAACUUGGGACCGGGAGAGGCUAGAGGUACUCCUGGGGUAGAGGUGAAAUUCUGUAAUCCUAGGGGGACCACCAGUGGCGAAGGCGUCUAGCUAGAACGGGUCUGACGGUGAGGGACGAAGCCCUGGGGCGCAAACCGGAUUAGAUACCCGGGUAGUCCAGGGUGUAAACGCUGCUUGCUUGAUGUUAGUUGGGCUCCGAGCCCAACUAGUGUCGGAGAGAAGUUGUUAAGCAAGCUGCCUGGGAAGUACGGUCGCAAGACUGAAACU
rnacentral:rRNA from 1 species